rnacentral:lncRNA from 1 species
CUGACAGCCCGAGGCGCCGCCGACCGUCAAACUUCACCCCGGGACAAAAAGAGAGCGAACCAUGGACAAAGAAGACAAAACAGCAUAAAAGUCACAUAAGGACAUGUGCUGUGGAUUCUAUCUGCAUAUUUGUCAGCUGGUCUUUGAUCCAGUAGGUGGCAGCACAUCUUUUGAAGGCCUUAAGCACCUGUCAUCAUCCUGAACUCCAGUAGGCCUAUCACACUGUCUCAUUCCAUCGAUUCUGCCUCUUCUCCUCCCUCGUGCCCCUUUCAGCCCUCCUGGAGUCCCCAGGGCCACUCGGCCUCCAUGGAGAGCAGGGAGAGGGAUGCGGGACCCUCGCCCAGGAGAUUUGCCUCAAUAAUGGGAACGUGACGAAGGAUCCCGUGCCUGCACUGGGUUUUCAUGAUGUCUCAACUCUCACAGACCUGUGCUCCAGUGUGGAUCUACC